rnacentral:rRNA from 1 species
AGCAGCCGCGGUAAUUCCAGCUCCAAUAGCGUAUAUUAAAGUUGUUGCAGUUAAAGCUCGUAGUUGAAUUUAGGCCUGGCCGGGCGGUCCGUCUUUGGCGAGUACUGUCCUGUGUCGGGUCCACCUUCUGGUGAACCAGUAUGUCCUUUAUUGGGUGUGCCGGGGAGCCAGGACCAUUACCUUGAAAAAUUAGAGUGUUUAAAGCAGGCAUUUGCUUGAAUAGAUUAGCAUGGAAUAAUAGAAUAGGACGUUGUGGUUCUAUUUUGUUGGUUUCUAGGACCACCGUAAUGAUUAAUAGGGACAGUUGGGGGCAUUAGUAUUCAAUUGUCAGAGGUGAAAUUCUUGGAUUUAUUGAAGACUAACUAUUGCGAAAGCAUUUGCCAAGGAUGUUUUCAUUAAUCAAGAACGAAAGUUAGGGGAUCGAAGACGAUCAGAUACCGUCGUAGUCUUAACCAUAAACUAUGCCGACUAGGAAUCGGGCGACGUUAUUUUCAUGACUCGCUCGGCGCCUUAUGGGAAA